rnacentral:rRNA from 1 species
AUUUUAAAUGGCUGCAGUAAUUUGACUGUACAAAGGUAGCAUAAUCAUUUGUCUUUUAAUUGAAGUCUGGUAUGAAUGGUUGGAUGAGAAAUAUACUUUCUUUGUUUUAUAUAUAAAAAUUAAUUUUUUAGUUAAAAAGCUAAAAUAUUUUUAUAGGACGAGAAGACCCUAUAGAACUUUAUUUUUUUUGUAUAUAGAUUUUAUAGUUUAUUAUAAAUAUAUAUAUUUGUGAUAAUUUUGUUGGGGUGAUAGAAAAAAUUAUAUAACUUUUUCUUUUUUUUACAUUUAUUUAUGUUUAUUUGAUCCUUUAUUAUAGAAAAUAAGAUUAAGUUACCUUAGGGAUAACAGCGUUAUUUUCUUUGAGAGUUCUUAUCGAUAAGAAAGUUUGCGACCUCGAUGUUGGAUUAAAAUAAGUGACAGGAGUAGAAUAUUGUU